AAGUCGUAACAAGGUAACCGUAGGUGAACCUGCGGUUGGAUCAUUAACAAAAACUUAAUGAAACUUGAGCUUCUUUUUUGAACUUGGCUUUUAAUAAACCAAGUGACAUCAAGAGUUCAACAACCCCAAACCUGUGAACUGUUUUACUGUGAAUCCACAACUGCUCUUUUUUACAAAAAGAAUGGUUGAGAUUUGUGAGUGUAUGUGGCGAGAGGAAAUUUAGUUUUCAGCUCGCCCGUCACUUGUGAUCUCUUCUAUUUCAAUUGUAAACCUCUGCAGUGGUGGACCUUGACAACAAACUUUCUUACAAACAAGUGACUUUUUUUUUCAACUAAAAAAGUUUUGAGACUCCUAUUGAAAAACGGGAUCUCAGAUUUUUAAAGUAUAAAUGAAAACAACUUUUGACAACGGAUCUCUUGGCUCUC
rnacentral:misc_RNA from 1 species